UACGGGGGGAGCAAGCGUUGUUCGGAUUUACUGGGCGUAAAGGGCGCGUAGGCGGCGUGACAAGUCACUUGUGAAAUCUCCGGGCUUAACCCGGAGCGGCCAAGUGAUACUGUCGUGCUAGAGUGCGGAAGGGGCUACUGGAAUUCUCGGUGUAGCGGUGAAAUGCGUAGAUAUCGUAAGGAAGACCAGUGGCGAAGGCGGGUCUCUGGACAGUUCCUGACGCUGAGGCACGAAGGCCAGGGGAGCAAACGGG
rnacentral:rRNA from 1 species